AGGAAAUUACAGUUGUUGUACUUACACACAAUUUUAUUGUAAGCUAAUUCAGAAAUACAAUUUUGUCAUCUAACAAAUAAAUUAAUGUUUGCCCAACUCAAUAUUCUCAGAAUUUGGUCAACAAGGAAAUUUGAUUCACCAAAACAAGAUUUUUUGUUUCCCUCAACUUUCUAACAAGAUUAGAAAGAUUCUAACACAAAAAAUUAAGUUUCCUCAACUGUAUGUUCAUGGACACGCCUACUACGGGGUUUCCUUCCUGUCUCCAUGGACAUACACAGGUCUCCACGAGUCGACCGUUCUACCAUUUUCCCUCGAAGUUGAGAGGAUUGCCAGACGUGAGAUUCAUAUCAGAACACAGACCCUGAGGAAGAGGUGGUUGGAGGAGUGGCAGUUGCCAUACUGACUGUCUAUGACGAUGAUGAUGGCACCGAAUCCCCACCAGUGACUGAAAUCAAUGUCAUCUUGGAAGGGGCAGUUAUAAAACACGACCUACCUGACCUCGCUGCUGACUUCGCCUACCUGUUUGGCCUAAUGUAUGCAAUGGACAUAAGCUAUCCAGAGAAGAUGAGGUACACCUUUGAGGCCAUCCAGACUAUCUUUUUCGAGCUUGGUUCAAGAUGCUCUCAGCGCACGCGAUCCUUGAAAGAGAAGCUUUUGCUGUGAAGCCUGUGUAUGAUUUACACUCACACACACAUACACACGAACGCACGCACGCCCAGCUCUGUCAUCACUCCUCCAUGAACAAGCCUACACCAGCUCUUUCACACAUACACACACACACACACACACACACACACACACACACACACACACACACACACACAAGGAGACUCCCUUUCAUACAUACAUCAUUGUUCUGGCAGCCCAUUGACUCUAGCAGUUAAAUGGUGGUUUACAUUGUGGUUUUAUGUUUUUGUACGUAUUGAUACAAUAGCCACAUUUACAUGAGCCUAAUGGCCUAAUGUCUUUAUCAGAGUAUCGGACAGUUUUAGCCUACACCACCUCUUACACACGCACACACACACACACACACACACACAAGGAGACUCCCUUUCAUACACCGUUGUCCUGGCAGCCCAUUGACUCUAGCAGUUAUGAUGAUAAAUGGUGAUUUACAUUGCGGUUUUAUGUUUAUAUUGUAUGUGGUUUACAUUGUGGUUUUAUGUUUUUGUACGUAUUGAUACAAUAGCCACAUUUACAUGAGCCUAAUGGCCUAAUGUCUUUAUCAGAGUAUUGGACAGUUAUAGCCUACACCACCUCUUACACACACACACACACACAAACACAAGGAGACUCCCUUUCACAUCAUUGUUCCAGCAGCCCAUUGAUGUUGGAAAAAUAAAAACAAAUUGUAUUCAA